AACGAACGCUGGCGGCAGGCUUAACACAUGCAAGUCGAACGGGUGCAGCAAUGCAUCAGUGGCAGACGGGUGAGUAACACGUGGGAACCUUCCUAGGGGUACGGAACAACUCAGGGAAACUUGAGCUAAUACCGUAUACGUCCGUAAGGAGAAAGAUUCAUCGCCCCUAGACGGGCCCGCGUCGGAUUAGGUAGUUGGUGGGGUAACGGCCUACCAAGCCUGCGAUCCGUAGCUGAUCUGAGAGGAUGAUCAGCCACACUGGGACUGAGACACGGCCCAGACUCCUACGGGAGGCAGCAGUGGGGAAUCUUGGACAAUGGGCGCAAGCCUGAUCCAGCCAUGCCGCGUGAGUGAAGAAGGCCUUAGGGUUGUAAAGCUCUUUUACCAGGGACGAUAAUGACGGUACCUGGAGAAUAAGCCCC
rnacentral:rRNA from 1 species